GACGUCUGGUGUCGGAGUAUUAUCGCUGUCACAAGUGCCUGUUCCAUCGCCUGCCCGCCUACCUAGGAUUUUGUGUUGGCUAUUCUGGAUCCGCGACGGAGUGCUACGUACCAUCAGGCGGCGAUCACCGCAGCGGCUGUGGUUUGGGUGGUCAAGUAGCUCCGGUGCGUCUGCUACCUACCUGUAUGCUUCGGCUCCAUCUCAUCGCCUCGGUGUUUUCCUGCUGGCACAUUUUUAUUUAUCACUGUA